UUGGGUGAGCAUCCUAGAAAUCUGUUCUAGGAUUUUUGGAUGAGGAAAAAGUCAAAAAAGAAGGGAGUUCUCCCUCCAUCUUUCCAUCACCAGUUCUUCUUUAUUCUUUCUAUGGUUUCGAAGGAGUCCGAGAGAUCCAUAGGAGGAGAAGAUCAACCAUCUAUAAAUUUCUACGCAAGCUAGCACUCUCGUAGAAGCAGAUCAGCACGGUGCUUCGUGUGGAUCACCUGUAGAGGCCGGACAUCCUAUGCAGCUACGAGCAACCAGUAAGACCAUAAUUUUCAGAUGUAGAGGUUUGCUACCCGUG
rnacentral:lncRNA from 1 species